rnacentral:rRNA from 1 species
GCAGUCGAACGAUGAAGCCUUUCGGGGUGGAUUAGUGGCGAACGGGUGAGUAACACGUGGGCAAUCUGCCCUUCACUCUGGGACAAGCCCUGGAAACGGGGUCUAAUACCGGAUAAUACUUCUGCCUGCAUGGGCGGGGGUUGAAAGCUCCGGCGGUGAAGGAUGAGCCCGCGGCCUAUCAGCUUGUUGGUGGGGUGAUGGCCUACCAAGGCGACGACGGGUAGCCGGCCUGAGAGGGCGACCGGCCACACUGGGACUGAGACACGGCCCAGACUCCUACGGGAGGCAGCAGUGGGGAAUAUUGCACAAUGGGCGAAAGCCUGAUGCAGCGACGCCGCGUGAGGGAUGACGGCCUUCGGGUUGUAAACCUCUUUCAGCAGGGAAGAAGCGAAAGUGACGGUACCUGCAGAAGAAGCGCCGGCUAACUACGUGCCAGCAGCCGCGGUAAUACGUAGGGCGCAAGCGUUGUCCGGAAUUAUUGGGCGUAAAGAGCUCGUAGGCGGCUUGUCGCGUCGGAUGUGAAAGCCCGGGGCUUAACCCCGGGUCUGCAUUCGAUACGGGCAGGCUAGAGUGUGGUAGGGGAGAUCGGAAUUCCUGGUGUAGCGGUGAAAUGCGCAGAUAUCAGGAGGAACACCGGUGGCGAAGGCGGAUCUCUGGGCCAUUACUGACGCUGAGGAGCGAAAGCGUGGGGAGCGAACAGGAUUAGAUACCCUGGUAGUCCACGCCGUAAACGUUGGGAACUAGGUGUUGGCGACAUUCCACGUCGUCGGUGCCGCAGCUAACGCAUUAAGUUCCCCGCCUGGGGA